rnacentral:rRNA from 1 species
UAAAGCGGCGGACGGGUGAGUAAUGCUAGGAAUCUGCCUGGUAGUGGGGGAUAACGUUCGGAAACGGGCGCUAAUACCGCAUACGUCCUACGGGAGAAAGCAGGGGACCUUCGGGCCUUGCGCUAUCAGAUGAGCCUAGGUCGGAUUAGCUAGUUGGUGGGGUAAUGGCUCACCAAGGCGACGAUCCGUAACUGGUCUGAGAGGAUGAUCAGUCACACUGGAACUGAGACCGGUCCAUAUCCUACGGGAGGCAGCAGUGGGGAAUAUUGGACAAUGGG